UCGAGCAGUAAAGUAGUGAUACGAGACGUUCUACAUAUUGUCGUAUUCUUUUAUGAAACGACAAAUGUUGAGAAAUCAUGACAAUUAACAAUUAAUUAAUUUUCGAUGGACAUGUAACUGUACGAUAAAGUCUUUAUCCAAGUACAUACUAUUAUCUACGCGAUCAUUUAUUAUUUCAAGCACAAGUUAAAACACACACACACACACACACACACACACACACACACACACUAUAAACACGUAAAAAUUAUAAACUAUCAAUGUAUUGUGUUUAUUGUGAUCGCGCGAAACAGCAUAUUGCUUUAUGAUAAUUAAAAUUAAAUACGAGAGUGCCGUUUAAAGUAUCGUGCGUUAAAGUGCGGGAGUGUCGUUCAAAGUGUCGCGCGAUCAAGUGCACGAUUUGUUUCCUGAAGACCCUGACAAUCUAAGAGGAGGAAGAGAAGAUCUAGGAGAAACAUCGAACUCCAGCACAGCAAUCCUGGGGUCGACCAAAUCGAAGAAUCGAAUCCGAUGCCCUUGCGAAUAGUGACCGGUGUGAGAAACGCGUCGGUCGGUCUUAAAUCAAGGAGGCCCUAAUUCCAGCAAGAAAUCGUCGCGGGGCGUUGUUCCCAGGAUCAGCUGGCCGGCUGACGGCAUUUCUCAGACAUACCCAUCGUACCUCAUCGACCGGUUUCGACUGGUAACAAGAUAGGCUCUUCCCUGAUGAUCUCUGGCGAACCUCAAUACAUACCUCUACAAUUUGCUCCAAUUUUGUGAACUGUCGUGCCGCAAUUGAUGAUUUAUGCGGAUUAAUACUUGAAUGGAUGAUUAAAUAUUUCUUCGACGAUGAAAGGUUGCGUCAUUAAUCUCAUUCAUCGUCCUCAAUCAAUUCCCAUAGAUCAAAGACAAGUUCAUGUCACAUUCCGCCAGACGAGACGGGCCCAAAGUCGCAAACAAUUUUCACGGGACACACAGGACUCACGGAAAAAAGUGAAACGGAGAAAGAAA